rnacentral:rRNA from 1 species
CACGAACGCUGGCGGCAGGCUUAACACAUGCAAGUCGAGCGCCCCGCUAGGGGAGCGGCAGACGGGUGAGUAACGCGUGGGAAUCUACCCAUCUCUACGGAAUAACGCAUGGAAACGUGUGCUAAUACCGUAUACGUCCUUCGGGAGAAAGAUUUAUCGGAGAUGGAUGAGCCCGCGUUGGAUUAGCUAGUUGGUGGGGUAAAGGCCUACCAAGGCGACGAUCCAUAGCUGGUCUGAGAGGAUGAUCAGCCACACUGGGACUGAGACACGGCCCAGACUCCUACGGGGGGCAGCAGUGGGGAAUAUUGGACAAUGGGCGCAAGCUUGAUCCAGCCAUGCCGCGUGAGUGAUGAAGGCCCUAGGGUUGUAAAGCUCUUUCACCGGUGAAGAUAAUGACGGUAACCGGAGAAGAAGCCCCGGCUAACUUCGUGCCAGCCGCCGCAGUAAAAC